GUUUGGUAAUUUUGUGAACGAAGUGCUUAGCCGGCGUUUGAAUGCGGAAGUAGGUCCGAGAAUCACCAAGCGGUUUGAAUCUGGAGCGUAAAAGAUAGCGUAAGAGAGCCGCUUCACAAAGGGGGCGGGGGCGGCUCCGCAUACCGGAAACGCCGGAGCCGGAACAGAUACGGCCUGACACUCAGUCCCAUUUAAAUAGUACCAGUCCUUGAUGUUGAUUGGAGAAUCCUCUGUGGGUUAAUUGGACCUAGAACCAAUCACAUCCGUAAUUACGGGGCUAAGUUCUCCUCAUAGGUCCUUAUUGAUCUUCUUUCCAGCCAUUCCCAGUUGCUG